rnacentral:rRNA from 1 species
AACGUAGGACACGAGCGUUAUCCGGAGUUACUGGGCGUAAAGCGCGCGUAGGCGGACCUGCAAGUCGGGGGUGAAAGCCCGAGGCUCAACCUCGGAACUGCCUUCGAUACUGCGGGUCUCGAGUCCGGGAGAGGUGAGUGGAAUUCCUAGUGUAGAGGUGAAAUUCGUAGAUAUUAGGAAGAACACCAGUGGCGAAGGCGGCUCACUGGCCCGGUACUGACGCUGAGGCGCGAAAGCGUGGGGAGCAAACAGG